AUUGAACGCUGGCGGCAUGCCUUACACAUGCAAGUCGAACGGUAACAGGUCUUCAGAUGCUGACGAGUGGCGAACGGGUGAGUAAUACAUCGGAACGUGCCUAGUAGUGGGGGAUAACUACUCGAAAGAGUGGCUAAUACCGCAUGUGAUCUACGGAUGAAAGCAGGGGAUCGCAAGACCUUGUGCUACUAGAGCGGCCGAUGGCAGAUUAGGUAGUUGGUGGGAUAAAAGCUUACCAAGCCGACGAUCUGUAGCUGGUCUGAGAGGACGAUCAGCCACACUGGGACUGAGACACGGCCCAGACUCCUACGGGAGGCAGCAGUGGGGAAUUUUGGACAAUGGGCGAAAGCCUGAUCCAGCAAUGCCGCGUGCAGGAUGAAGGCCUUCGGGUUGUAAACUGCUUUUGUACGGAACGAAAAGCCCCGGGUUAAUACCCUGGGGUCAUGACGGUACCGUAAGAAUAAGCACCGGCUAACUACGUGCCAGCCGCCGCGGUAA
rnacentral:rRNA from 1 species